GACGAACGCUGGUGGCGUGCUUAACACAUGCAAGUCGAACGGAAAGGCCCUGCUUUUGUGGGGUGCUCGAGUGGCGAACGGGUGAGUAACACGUGAGUAACCUGCCCUUGACUUUGGGAUAACUUCAGGAAACUGGGGCUAAUACCGGAUAGGAGCUCCUGCUGCAUGGUGGGGGUUGGAAAGUUUCGGCGGUUGGGGAUGGACUCGCGGCUUAUCAGCUUGUUGGUGGGGUAGUGGCUUACCAAGGCUUUGACGGGUAGCCGGCCUGAGAGGGUGACCGGCCACAUUGGGACUGAGCUACGGCCCAGACUCCUACGGGAGGCAGCAGUGGGGAAUAUUGCACAAUGGGCGGAAGCCUGAUGCAGCAACGCCGCGUGCGGGAUGACGGCCUUCGGGUUGUAAACCGCUUUCGCCUGUGACGAAGCGUGAGUGACGGUAAUGGGUAAAGAAGCACCGGCUAACUACGUG
rnacentral:rRNA from 1 species